GGGCCUAUAGCUCAGGUGGUUAGAGCGCACGCCUGAUAAGCGUGAGGUCAGUGGUUCAACUCCACUUAGGCCCAC
rnacentral:tRNA from 1 species